rnacentral:lncRNA from 1 species
AUGCUUUGUAUUGUACACAUUUCUGGGAUAUUUUAGGAUGCAGUGACUUUUGAUGAUGUGCAUGUGAACUUCACUAAAGAAGAGUGGAAUUUGCUGGGUCCUUCUCAGAUGAAUCUCUACAAAGAUGUGAUGUUGGAGACCUACUGGAACCUUACUUCUAUAGACCAUCAUAUUGAAGAACCAUGUCAAAGUUCUCCAGGACAUACAAGGAAGUGCAUCACUGUUAGGGUUGGCUUUGAAGUUCCACCCAGUGCUGAAGAGACCCUCCUGUGUGAUCCCUAGAAGACAGUCUCUUCCUGACUUCCUAUGGAUCAAGGUGCAGAACUCUCAGCUCCUUCUUCAGCAUUAUGUUUACCUGCAUGCCUACCAUGAUUCCUGAUAUGAUGAAAAUCGACUAAACCUCUAAAACUGUAAGUCAGCCCCAAUUAAAUAUUUGCUUUUACAAGAGUUGCCUUGGUUAUGAAAUCUAUUCCUAGCAAUGGAAAUUCUAAGACACA